rnacentral:tRNA from 1 species
GGCCCCGUAGCUCAGCUGGAUAGAGCGAGUGACUUCUAAUCACUAGGUCAGAGGUUCAAGUCCUCUCGGGGUCG